GAACGCACCUUGCACCCUUUGGUAUUCCGAAGGGUAUGCCUGUUUGAGUGUCAUUAAAUUCUCAACUUCAAAAGAGUUUGUGCUUUUUUGAAGCUUGGACUAUGGAAGCUUGCUGGUAUCACUAUCAGCUCUUCUUAAAUGCAUUAGCGGAACUGUGAAGGACCAGCUUUGGUUUGAUAAUCCUAUCUAUGCCGUCGCUGUGGACUUGUGUUCAGCUUCUAACUGUCUUCGGACUGUCUCCUAUGAGGCAUACAACUUUAAGCUUGACCUCAAAUCAGGUAGGACUACCCGCUGAACUUAAG
rnacentral:misc_RNA from 1 species